GAUUCUGUGACCUAGUGGUUUGAGCGUCCGUCUCAGAUGCGGGAGGUCGCGUGUUCGAGCCAUACCAAAGACA